rnacentral:snoRNA from 1 species
GGCCUCCUGGUGCUUACCACAGGUUGUGUUCUUGCACUGACGAUAUAGAAAAAGGAAGCAGAGUGAGCUGACCCCAUACACAUCUCAGCCCAGGCCUGGUGCCUGGUCUGAAUUGUGAAUAGGGGAACAUGG